GACAGAGGCCUCAAGCGUUAGGCGGAAUCACUGGGCUUAAAGCGUGUGUAGGCGGAUCGUUAAGUGUCUUGUGAAAUCCCACGGCUCACCCGUAGAACUGCUGGGCAUACUGGCGAUCUUGGGCCAACUAGGGGCAACUGGAACAAGCGGUGGAGCGGUGAAAUGCGUAGAUAUCGCUUGGAACGCCGAAGGUGAAAACAGGUUGCUGGGGUUGUGCCGACGCUGAGACACGAAAGCCAGGGGAGCAAACGGG
rnacentral:rRNA from 1 species